rnacentral:rRNA from 1 species
GUACACUCCUGCGGGAGGCAGCAGUGGGGAAUUUUGGACAAUGGGCGAAAGCCUGAUCCAGCAAUGCCGCGUGAGUGAAGAAGGCCUUCGGGUUGUAAAGCUCUUUUGUCAGGGAAGAAACGGUGAAAGCUAAUAUCUUUUGCUAAUGACGGUACCUGAAGAAUAAGCACCGGCUAACUACGUGCCAGCAGCCGCGGUAAUACGUAGGGUGCAAGCGUUAAUCGGAAUUACUGGGCGUAAAGCGUGCGCAGGCGGUUUUGUAAGUCUGAUGUGAAAUCCCCGGGCUCAACCUGGGAAUUGCAUUGGAGACUGCAAGGCUAGAAUCUGGCAGAGGGGGGUAGAAUUCCACGUGUAGCAGUGAAAUGCGUAGAUAUGUGGAGGAACACCGAUGGCGAAGGCAGCCCCCUGGGUCAAGAUUGACGCUCAUGCACGAAAGCGUGGGGAGCAAACAGGAUUAGAAACCCUUGUAGUCCCAU